rfam:Mycobacterium celatum strain DSM 44243 contig_41, whole genome shotgun sequence.
GGCCAGUUUCUUCGGGGCGGAGCUCGACCGCCAACACAAGAAAUAGUCGAGUUCAUCGACGCCAACCGUGACGAGUUCGGGGUCGAGCCCAUCUGCACCGUCCUGCGCAGCGCAGGGGUGUCGGUGGCCCCG